CUUGUCGUCGCCGCUCGCCGCCCGUUGCCGCCUGUCGUCGCCCGUGGCCACCCGCCACCCCAUCGCUACCCACCCCGCCGCCCGUGGAGGGUCUCCCGUGUGCGGCACAGUGCAGUGAAAAAGGGGAAGAAGAAGAUGGGAUAGAGAGGAUGACAAGUGGGGCCUUAAUUGGGGGGCAACAAUGGCAAUCCACACUGAAAUCGAUCUUUUCUGGAGCUGAGAGCACCCAUCUAGCCAAACACCUCAUUUUUGUUCUGGAGUUUUGGAGCGGAGCUGGCUCCAUGUGAAGUUGUGGAGUGGAGCAGCUCCACCCGGAGUUGGAGCUAUACCAAACAGGACCUAAGUUGGUUGAAGCUCGUCAAGUGUUCAAACAACCUGACACAAGUUAAAUCUCCGAUGGCUGGCGCGUCAGGUGUUGAUAUUUUAUACCCAGCAACCUACUGAGGGUAUCCCGAUUUAUACAGGUGGAAAUCGUCGUAUCUGGAACUUGAUAGUUAAAGCGGACACAUGAUUUAUACAGGUUCGGGCCGCCAGAGUAGUUAAUACCCUACGUCCUGUUUGGAGUGUUGUAUAUUGCGCUCUGCGCUUGGGUGUUGUUUGGUGUUGAGGAUUUGGUCCUCUAUUGUGACUCUAUGAGGUCUUCACCUACCAAUCUAGGGAUCCCUGCCCUCCUUUAUAUACUCCAAGAGGCGGAUUACUAGUCGGUUACAAGGAGUCCUAGCAGGAUUACAUGGUACGAAUCCUAAAAGGAUCACAGAGGAAUUAUCAUAGGAAUCCGUCUUCUUUCUUCCUUACCGGUACUGGGGAUCUAUCCCGACAGGUACACCGUACAUGUCUUGAAUACAACUUUCAUUAAACCUAUAAUCUUCCGAUCUGGUGCACCUCCGCAUGUGUACGGUGUGAGAGUGUUCAUUUAGUGGGUCAUUGUAUCUUACUACAAGAGAUAUAUAAGCAUAGUUCAGACCAAAGAAGGCCACAUGCCC
rnacentral:lncRNA from 1 species